AUCCAGCUGAAGAAUGCCAAAUGGGACGAAACGCGAGUCCUGGUU
rnacentral:hammerhead_ribozyme from 1 species